UAAUAAUUGCUUUAUACAGUCAAAACAUGAUAAUGGUCAGGGAAAGUUAGGUUCUUUUUUUCUGUUCUUCAACCCCAUCAACUGAGAAGGGUAAGGACACUUGUCCCUCAACUAAAACAUAAUGGAGGAGAUAGGGAUCUUUCAUCUUCGCCUUGUGACAGUCAACCUCUAUCUACCAAUUGACCAUAAAGUCCCUAACCUUUAAA
rnacentral:misc_RNA from 1 species